UUGAUCUGUUUCUAGUGGCGGACGGGUGAGUAACGCGUGGGUAACCUGCCUUAUACAGGGGGAUAACAACCAGAAAUGGUUGCUAAUACCGCAUAAGCGCACAGGACCGCAUGGUCCGGUGUGAAAAACUCCGGUGGUAUAAGAUGGACCCGCGUUGGAUUAGCUAGUUGGCAGGGUAACGGCCUACCAAGGCGACGAUCCAUAGCCGGCCUGAGAGGGUGAACGGCCACAUUGGGACUGAGACACGGCCCAGACUCCUACGGGAGGCAGCAGUGGGGAAUAUUGCACAAUGGGGGAAACCCUGAUGCAGCGACGCCGCGUGAAGGAAGAAGUAUCUCGGUAUGUAAACUUCUAUCAGCAGGGAAGAUAGUGACGGUACCUGACUAAGAAGCCCCGGCUAACUACGUGCCAGCAGCCGCGGUAAUACGUAGGGGGCAAGCGUUAUCCGGAUUUACUGGGUGUAAAGGGAGCGUAGACGGACUGGCAAGUCUGAUGUGAAAGGCGGGGGCUCAACCCCUGGACUGCAUUGGAAACUGUUAGUCUUGAGUGCCGGAGAGGUAAGCGGAAUUCCUAGUGUAGCGGUGAAAUGCGUAGAUAUUAGGAGGAACACCAGUGGCGAAGGCGGC
rnacentral:rRNA from 1 species